GACGAACGCUGGCGGCGUGCUUAACACAUGCAAGUCGAGCGGUAAGGCCCUUUCGGGGGUACGACGAGCGGCGAACGGGUGAGUAACACGUGGGUGACCUGCCCUUAGCUCUGGGAUAAGCCUGGGAAACUGGGUCUAAUACCGGAUAUGACUCCAUAACGCAUGUUGUGGGGUGGAAAGCCUUGUGCGGCUAGGGAUGGGCCCGCGGCCUAUCAGCUUGUUGGUGGGGUGAUGGCCACCAAGGCGACGACGGGUAGCCGGCCUGAGAGGGCGACCGGCCACACUGGGACUGAGACACGGCCCAGACUCCUACGGGAGGCAGCAGUGGGGAAUCUUGCGCAAUGGGCGAAAGCCUGACGCAGCGACGCCGCGUGGGGGAUGACGGCCU
rnacentral:rRNA from 1 species